rnacentral:lncRNA from 1 species
AGUGACAACGUCGACUUUGAAGUUGCACUGACCUGGCCAGCCCUGCCACUUACCAGGCUGUGGCUUGCCUUUUCACUUCUUGUGUCCUGUUUAAGAAAUAUCUGCUAUCCCAAGAUAACACUAACAAAGUUGACCUUAGAAUUGGAGUGCCCGGGUUAGAACCUUGCUGGUACCACCUGCUUACUGCAUGCUUCUGAUGUGAGUUCAGGAGAAGCCACUGGCAAGGACAGCAAAGAACAGGAGAACACUCUAGCUUCCCUGAUAGCAUUCAAGGUGCUGUCCAAAGCUCUUGAGUUUCUGCUUUCAAGUGACCCUCAGAAAUGCCCCCAUUCACUGCAGAGGUUCUGUUUCUCCUUGUUUUGUUCCGACUUUAUGGCAGAACUAGGUUAAUGAGUUAAUUACUAUGAGUUAUCACUUGGAUUUGAAGAACCAUCAUUUCUAGGCUUUGCUGCUCAGAGUGGGUUUGCCCUCAGGGGAAGCUAUCUAACCAGAGCCUAACCCACUAGGGUUUUAUCAGAACCUAACUGGCCUGAGGAAAAGAAAUAUUCAACUCCAGCAAGCUCCAGCCUUCCAAACGGAGGAGGAGAAAACCCAAAUCCAGCCCACUUCAGCUAUCUUGUCCCACAUAAAGGGGGAGUGGAAGAAACGUGAGAAGCAGGCAUGAAGUUCACAGUCCGGAGGUACAGACACAUCAGAGUUCAGUAUCUGAUGAAUUAGAUGCAAAAUCCUCAACAAAGUAUUAGCAAAUUGAAUUCAACAAUGUAUGAAAAUUAUUACAUGCCAUGACUAAUUGGAAUUUAUCUCAGGUAUACAAGCCAUGCUGAACAUCUGAAAAUCAAUUCAUGUGAUCCAUCACAUUAGCAGAUUCAA